GAAUUGCGAAAAGCCUUGCAGCAGCUACAAGAAUUGCAGAAUAAGAGCCAACAGCUUCGUGCCUGGGAGGCUGAAAAAUACAAUGAGAUUCGAACCCAGGAACAAAACGUCCAGCACCUAAACCAUAGUCUGAGUCACAAGGAGCAGUUGCUUCAGGAAUUUCGGGAGCUCCUACAGUAUCGAGAUAACUCAGACAAAACCCUUGAAGCAAAUGAAACGUUGCUUGAGAAACUUCGCCAGCGAAUACAUGAUAAAGCUGUUGCUCUGGAGCACUCCCAGGAGAUGGAAAGCCUGAGGGAGGCUCUGCUGUCCUCUCGAUCCCACCUUCAAGAGCUGGAAGAGGAGCUGGAGCACCAGAAGGUGGAAAGGCAGCAGCUUUUGGAAGACUUGAGGGAGAAGCAGCAAGAGGUCUUGCAUUUCAGGGAGGAACGCCUUUCCCUCCAGGAAAACGACUCCAGACUGAAGCACAAGCUGGUUCUCCUGCAGCAACAGUGUGAAGAGAAACAGCAGCUCUUUGAGUCCCUCCAGUCAGAGUUACAAAUCUAUGAGGCACUUUAUGGCAAUUCCAAGAAGGGGCUGAAAGCUUACAGCCUGGAUGUCUGUCACCAAAUCCCUUUGAGCAGUGACUUGAGCCACCUGGUGGCAGAGGUAUGAGGUCUGAGAGGGCAGCUGGAGAAGAGCAUUCAGGGGAACAAUUGUCUGUGACUGCAGCUGCAACAGCAGCUGGAUAGCCUGCUGGCAAAGCCAGCCUCAGCCCCUCCUCUGUUAACCAGAACUUCCCAGCCAGCGCUGACCCUGGAAACAAGCAGCUGCUCCUCCAAGAUUCAGCUGUGUCCCCUCCAGUCCGGGAUGUUGGUAUGAAUUCCCCAGCUCUGGUCCUCCCCAGCUCUGCUUCCUCUACUCCUGGCUCAGAAACGGCCAUAAUCAACAGAACACAUGGCUUGGGUUUGGAUACUUCUCCAGUAAUGAAGGCCCCUCCCAAGCUGGAGGGUGAUGCUACUGAUGGCUCCUUUGCCAAUAAGCAUGGCCGCCAUGUCAUUGGCCACAUUGAUGACUACAGUGCCCUAAGACAGCAGAUUGUGGAGGGCAAGCUGCUGGUCAAAAAGAUAGUGUCUCUUGUGAGAUCAGCGUGCAGCUUCCCUGGCCUUGAAGCCCAAGGCACAGGGGUGCUAGGCAGCAAAGGCAUUCAUGAGCUUUGGAGCAGCACCAGUGCCCUGCACCAUGCCCUAGAGGAGUCGGCUUCCCUCCUCACCAUGUUCUGGAGAGUGGCCCUGCCAAGCACCCACAUCCCUGUGCUGCCUGGCAAAGUGAGAGAAUCGACAGAAAGGGAACUUCUAGAACUGAGAACCAAAGUAUCCAAACAGGAGUGGCUCCUUCAGAGCACAGCUGAGCAUCUGAAGAUCGCCAACCAGCAGAAAGAGAGCAUGGAGCAGUUCAUCGUCAGCCAGCUAACCAGAACACAUGAUGUUUUAAAGAAGGCAAGGACUAACCUAGAGUGAAAUCCCUAAGGGCUCUGCCAUGUACUCCAGCCUUGUGA
rnacentral:lncRNA from 1 species